rnacentral:tRNA from 1 species
CUCCUCAUAGGGGGGUCGAACCC